rnacentral:rRNA from 1 species
AACGAACGCUGGCGGCAUGCCUAACACAUGCAAGUCGAACGAAGCCUUCGGGCUUAGUGGCGCACGGGUGCGUAACGCGUGGGAAUCUGCCCCUCGGUUCGGAAUAACACAGAGAAAUUUGUGCUAAUACCGGAUGAUGACGAAAGUCCAAAGAUUUAUCGCCGAGGGAGGAGCCCGCGUAGGAUUAGCUAGUUGGUGAGGUAAAGGCUCACCAAGGCGACGAUCCUUAGCUGGUCUGAGAGGAUGAUCAGCCACACUGGGACUGAGACAUGGCCCAGACUCCUACGGGAGGCAGCAGUGGGGAAUAUUGGACAAUGGGCGAAAGCCUGAUCCAGCAAUGCCGCGUGAGUGAUGAAGGCCUUAGGGUUGUAAAGCUCUUUUACCAGGGAUGAUAAUGACAGUACCUGGAGAAUAAGCUCCGGCUAACUCCGUGCCAGCAGCCGCGGUAA